UACAGAGGUCCCAAGCGUUGUUCGGAUUUACUGGGCGUAAAGGGUGCGUAGGCGGUGGGGUAAGUUUGAGGUGAAAGCUCCGGGCUCAACCCGGAAAAUGCCUUGAAAACUAUCCGGCUAGAGGGUUGGAGGGGAGACUGGAAUUCUCGGUGUAGCAGUGAAAUGCGUAGAUCUCGGGAGGAACACCAGUGGCGAAGGCGGGUCUCUGGACAACACCUGACGCUGAGGCACGAAAGCCAGGGGAGCAAACGGG
rnacentral:rRNA from 1 species